AGUGUUAUAGAAAUCGAGGGU
rnacentral:piRNA from 1 species